UUCCGCCCGUCGCUACUACCGAUUGAAUGGUUAUAGUGAGCAUAUGGGAUCAGCAGGAUUCGAUGGGCAACCAUCAUUUCUUGUUAGAGAACUAUGGCAAACUAAGCUAUUUAGAGGAAGUAAAAGUCGUAACAAGGUUUCCGUAGGUGAACCUGCGGAAGGAUCAUUACUUAUGUAAUGGGGGGAAGGGAAAAAAAAAAAAAAAAAUUUUUUUUUUUUUUUUUCCUUCAUUCAACCCAUCAUCUCUUUACUGUGAAAACAUGGCGGUUAUAUAACGGUGACCGGUAUGAGGCUAUAUGGAUAGGCCUUUACCUGGAUAUGAUCCAAGCCAAUCAUUACCAAUAUUAUGGCCUGUAAAAGGGUUAUAAAGGCGGUUAAUGGUAUCCAACAAAUAUAAUAUACCUUGAAAUUCAGUUAAUAUUAUUUUAUAAUUAUAAAACAACUUUUAACAACGGAUCUCUUGGUUCUCGCAUCGAUGAAGAACGUAGCAAAGUGCGAUAACUAGUGUGAAUUGCAUAUUCAGUGAAUCAUCGAGUCUUUGAACGCAACUUGCACUCUAUGGUUUUCCGUANAGUACGCUUGCUUCAGUAUCAUAAAGACCCCAUCCUGAUUAUUAUUUUUUUAUUAAAAUAAUUAAUUUUGGAGAUAAUAAAAAUGAGGCUCUUUCUUUUCUUUUUUUUUUUUUUUAAAAAUUUUUUUUUUUUUUUUCUCCUUUUUGUGUAGUUAAUACUCUAUUAAAUUUAUUUACUUGGUAUUAUAACGAUUAUGCAAGAAGGGAGAGAACAAAGAAUAAUGAAAGAGAGUUUUUAAAUAAAUUCUUUUUUCAUUUUUUCAAUCAAUGAUCUGAAGUCAAGUGGGAUUACCCGCUGAACUUCC
rnacentral:misc_RNA from 1 species